GUUGUGCCGCACGACGACAUCAUCACUCCCUCUCUGGACCGCCACGCGACAACGAUCUUGUCCCAAUCACUGAAGGUGGUGGUUGCUUAUCGGAAUAGGAAUCACCGGCGUCGAAGGAGGAAGAAGACUGAAAAAGUAGACGCGUUUUGAGCUUCUCCCCUUCCCUCACCCUUCGCCGUUAGAGACAUGUUCGUUUCGUUUUCGUUUACAUUUUCAAUUCCAUUUGUGAUUUGUUUAUUGCAGAUUUGAUGUGAAGGGAUACGUGACCGGUUUACGCACGAGGAGGCUGGCGACACUGCCACUGUCAUCACUGCUCAGGAAUGGUGCUACUUGUGUAGGCAAGACUAUCAUGGAUGAAUUCUCUUUUAAUCAAAACCACACUGACUUCACAUUGUAGCUUCUUCUUAAAGUGAUUCUUAGAAGUCAUUAUGAGGCUUUCUGCAGAAUAACCAAUUAGAUUGAUGAUUCAGACCGCUGUAGCAGUUGCUGCUGGCCUAGUUGACUUUGCUAUUGGUACUGAUACUACAUGUUGUUAGAAUUCCAGCAGCAUUCUGUGGUAUUCUUGGAUUUCGACCAUCUCAUGGAAUUGUAUCCACCAUUGGAGUUCUUCCAAACGCUCAAAGCUUGGACACUGUUGGUGUGAUUUUUUGUUUUUUGUGGCUUGGAGGUAAUACAACAUAUUGAAGGGAUGAUAAAUUUCUUUACUGCAAGUUGAUCUAUUCUUUUGGAGCUCACGGCAGAUUGACGUUUUGAGGUUGGUGUGGCUAUCAUGUGGGAUCUACUCCAAUAUAUGUGGCAACAUAUCACGUUGGAUACUUCCUUGUUGGAAGCACUUGAUGAUUGUUUUGCUGGCAGAUUUAGAAUGGAGUUGGAGCAUUGGAAUUGGUUUUACUCCACUUGUUUUGUUGUAUAGAUCUUAUUGGAGGCUCCUUUUAGACUUUGGAAAUUUGUACUAUUUUUCUUUCUCUAGGUUUUCCCAAGGAGGUUUUUCCUAUGAAGGUUUUAAUGAGGCAUCUUUCCAAAGUCUUUCCUCCAAGAAGAUGGUAGGAUUCCAUUAGUAAUAGAAGGUUCAAAAACUACUGUAAUCUAUUAGUUUUUGACUUUUUUUCCUUUACUAUUCUAUUUGUAUUCUUUAUUACUCUUUUUUUUUUGGGUAUACAGAGACAAUUUUUAAUC